rnacentral:rRNA from 1 species
UACGUAGGGUGCAAGCGUUGUCCGGAUUUAUUGGGCGUAAAGAGCUCGUAGGCGGUCUGUCGCGUCGGAUGUGAAAACCCAGGGCUCAACCCUGGGCCUGCAUUCGAUACGGGCAGACUAGAGUGUGGCAGGGGAGACUGGAAUUCCUGGUGUAGCGGUGAAAUGCGCAGAUAUCAGGAGGAACACCGGUGGCGAAGGCGGGUCUCUGGGCCAAUACUGACGCUGAGGUGCGAAAGCGUGGGGAGCAAACAGG